rnacentral:rRNA from 1 species
GACGAACGCUGGCGGCGUGCUUAACACAUGCAAGUCGAACGGAAAGGCCUGCUUUCCCUUGUGGAUUGCGGGUACUCGAGUGGCGAACGGGUGAGUAACACGUGAGUGAUCUGCCCCCAACUUGGGUAUAAGCCUGGGAAACUGGGUCUAAUUCCCGAUAGGACUGCAGGGUGGUGCCUGUGGUGGAAAACGAUUUUCUAGUGGUUGGGGAUGAGCUCGCGGCCUAUCAGCUUGUUGGUGGGGUAAUGGCCUACCAAGGCGGCGACGGGUAGCCGGCCUGGGAGGGUGGACGGCCACAUUGGGACUGAGAUACGGCCCAGAUUCCUACGGGAGGCAGCAGUGGGGAAUAUUGCACAAUGGGCGGAAGCCUGAUGCAGCGACGCCGCGUGGGGGAUGACGGCCUUCGGGUUGUAAACUCCUUUCGACCGCGAGGAAGCCACCUGGUUGGAAGGGUGGUGACGGUAGUGGUAGAAGAAGCACCGGCUAACUACGUG